CCGGCAAGAGCUUCCUGUUACGGCGCUGGAGCGUAGAAAGGCUGGUCUAGGCACAGGCAACGUCGCCUCCUCCUGGGAGACAAAAGCUACAGCGCCACCUUUUGCCAGGUGGGAGGAACUGCUGUUAAAAGGCCAUCUGCAAGGACGUUGCUCAGGGGACGCCCGGAUGUUUGAUGGCUUCUCUCAUGUCCCCGCAUGGGGAGCUGGAGCUGACAGAGGGAGCUCACCCACUCUCCCCGGAUUCGAACUGUCAACCUGUCGGUCAGCAGUCCUGCCGGCACAAGGGUUUAACCCAUUGCGCCAUCAGGGGCCCAAACUCUAGUAUACAGAGUCUGGGUCUACACUGCCAUAUAAUCCAGUUACUGAAUCUUGAUUAUCUCCUUUGUACUGGAUUAUAUGAGUCUACACUGCCAUAUAAUCCAGUUUUAAGCAGAUAAUCUGGCUUCAGAAACUGGUGGCAGUCACAGUCCACUACAUGGAAUAAUCCAGUCAGAAAUGGAAACAGUGCUGUCUUCACAAACCUUGCUUGUUUUAAUCCAUUGGUGUCUAUGGAGAUUCUCCAAGGCUGAACAUAAUGCGUCAAGUCAAGAACCGAAUCCUGAAUUCAUCUCCAUACUUUCCUUUUUUAAAACAAAUCAGAAAGUUAUAAAUUGAGGGACAUGGAUAGUUUGCAAAGGUGCAGGACUGCCCACAACUGCGUUAACUUCUGUCUCACUGUGUAUUGUUACAGAUGACAGCACUAAGCCGAGGUUACUUUUGUGUAGUUCAAUAGACUUGUUUAACGGUUUUAAUAAUGUGUUUUUAAUAUUUGUAUGUUUAAUUCUAUUUUAAUGUUUAUAUGUGUUAGGUUAUAAUUCACAUAUUGUUAUGAUUUUUAAUGUUAGAUGCUUCUGAGUCUCCUUUGAUAGAGAAAAUGUGUGUUACAAAUAAAGGCAGUCCCCAAGUUAUGAACAAGAUAGCUUCUGUAGGUUUGUUCUUACAUUGAAUUAGUCUGUAUGUCAGAACAGGUACAUUUUUAAGUGCAACACCAGACAAAAAUAUAUAUUCUUUAGCGCUGGAUAGCAUAGGGAAGGGUUAACACCCUUGUGGUUUUUGUUUUGCUGUCUGUGCCCUGUUCAGAAUAUUUCACCUCACUUCCUGUCUCUGUGAUAACUGGAUUUUGAAAAAAUUGGCUUCUUAUGGAAACAAGGAUUGGAGACCCCCUUUCCUCAUGAUAACUCUUACAGAAGUGAAUUUCUCUACUUAGGGGUAGAUCUAUCUCAAUUCCUGUUGUCUCACUCCUGUUCUUAACUACAAAUUGUUUGUAAAUCAGAUGUUUGUAACUCAGGAACUGCCUGUACAUUCAAUUAGAAGGGAUAACUUUAAAAUGUUUCCCCCUCAGUUUUGAGAAAGAAUUCAGAUAUACAGUAGAGUCUCACUUAUCCAACAUUCGCUUAUCCAACGUUCUGGAUUAUCCAACACAUUUUUGUAGUCAAUGUUUUCAAUACAUCGUGAUAUUUUGGUGCUAAAUUCGUAAAUACAGUAAUUACUACGUAGCAUUACUGCGUACUGAACUACUUUUUCUGUCAAAUUUGUUGUAUAAUAUGAUGCUUUGGUGCUUAAUUUGUAAAAUCAUUACCUAAUUUUAUGUCUAAUAUGCUUCUCCUUAAUUUCUCCUUAUUAUCCAACAUAUUCGCUUAUCCAACGUUCUGCCGGCCUGUUUAUGUUGGAUGAGACUCUACUCUAGUUUGAUUUCACUCAAGCUCACAUUCUUGAAUAUGGUGUUCACUUUGCAAUUCAUACCAGCCAGGACCUCAUCAGUCACACUACUCUUAUGUUCAGCACCUCAAAAUUAAGAAAUUUAAAGGGUGAAGCAAAAGUGAAAUGCCACAAAUGUUUUAAGCAUCUUUCUUGACUGUGUAUGGGAUGCAGGAGAGUCCUCUUCUAACAGAAGCUUUUAUUAAAAAGGUCAAUUCCAACUGGAAAAAAAAUCAGUAAUUUGGAUGACAUUGCUAUAAAACCUAUGCUCACUUCAAGCCAGGCACUAGGUUUUGCAGGUAUUUUAUUUUAAAAUGGUGUGUACUUCCAGUAUAGAUAACAUGCUUGUUCAGGAUUAAGCCUUAAAGAACAAUUAAUUGAAAUAAUCUUGUGAGAUAAUGCCAACUACAGGUCUUACAAAGACACAGGGAACACUAAGACUUGAAUAUUCUGUGGGCCCUGGAUCCAGUUAUAGCAGGUCUUCUUAAACUUUCUCCACUUUCAAAACUUUUCUGCCUGAUAAAUUUUAGUGACCCCCAGGUAUAAGGUAAAGGUAAAGGUUUUCCCUGACAUUAAGUCCAGUCAUGUCUGACUCUGGGGGUUGGUGCUCAUCUCCAUUUCUAAGCUGAAGAGCCGGCAUUGUCCGUAGACACCUCCAAGGUCAUGUGGCCGGCAUGACUGCAUGGAGCACCUUUACCUUCCCGCUGGAGCGGUACCUAUUGAUCUACUCACAUUGGCAUGUUUCCGAACUGCUAGGUUGGCAAGAGCUGGAGCUAACAACGGUCGCUCAUUCUGCUCCCGGGAUUUGAACCUGGGACCUUUUGGUCCGCAAGUUCAGCAGCUCGGUGCUUUAACACACUUCGCUCCCUGGUAUAUACUUAUAUAAAAUAAGUAUAAAAACCAAACAUUUACUUAUAAUAAAUCUACAUUUGCAAGGCUUGCUAAACAGGCUUAUUCCCCUUUUUGUAGAGUACAACUGAAGUAUCUUCUGUAGAAUCCACUAUAAACCUUGCAUGUUGUUACUAAUCUAUUUUUGUAAAUGGGUGGCAUUCAGAGACCUUCUAAAUUUUCAUGACCUCAUCAUUGAGCAAAUAGGAUCACAUUUGGAUUGGGAAGCAGUGAGUUAUAGUACUUUAAGGUGACCCAAGCAAAAAUUUGAGUAAGAGGGGUUUGUAACAUCCUCAAUUAGAAACAUUUUAAGAGACUCUAACAUCCCAUCUGUAUUCUUGAUGAACAUUGUGCCACCAUUUCAUAGCAACAGCAACUGAAAAAUAAGAUUUUGUUCGUAUUCAGAUAGCCAAGGCAAAGUCAAGAGUACAGUGAUAGAUGCAAAACACCUGUUGCCCUACAAACGUGCUUAAAACACGGUUGGAGUUCCCUGCAUAAGAACAGGGAAGUGCACUGAACAGGUGGCGAUUUCAAACAUUGUGCCUACUGCAAGACUUGGCUUGACCACAUGGCAGCUGUAAUCUUAGUGGCAGAAGUGAAUAAAUCAUAGGAUUUGUGCACCCACCAGCACUGAGCUUUCCACAUCUAGAGUCAUGUUUCUUGGCAGCAGUUAUUAGAAUAUGUGAACCUUAAGAGUCUUCACCGGUUCAGAUUAGCAAGGCUCAUAUUUUAGGGAGAUGAUAGGUUGCAAACUACCGUCUCAGCUGGAAGAUGCAUUGCCUCCUACCUCAAAACACCAUGCACAUGUCUGCACACAUGUGAGCAUAUGUGCAUACAUGUGCAUGGUCUUUUGCAUGGAGUGAGCAUGUGAGCAUUUGUGUGCAUGGAGAAUGACUAGAUUCACAUUUUAAAUGUUAGGUUCAGAAAACCAAGACUCCUAUUGCUGAAAUGUAGUCACGCUGCUUACCAACAUGCUGCUUACCAAAAUGUCUGAAUUAAAUGUCUGUUUCUUAAAAACAUAAUAGAACUUAAUAGGAAGGAUGAUAGCAACCAAUGCAGUAUUCUGUUGAACAGUUCUUUAUUAACAAAAAGUGGCAAGUGAACUUUUCAUUUACUAUGAGAAUUGAUGUAUUAACAUAUUCAUACAGUAUUAGUCUGUAAUUAUGCAGCUGCAAGAAAAAUAUGCAAAGAUAUACAUUUCUGUCCUGUGCGGCUUUAAAAAGCAUAGAAACGAUUACUUUCUUUUAUUGGAAGGAUUAAAUUGUACAGAUCCUCUACUUUUUACAUACCAGAUAUUUUGUUAGCUAUCCUAACAUAAAUAAAUUGAAGCACUAAAAGUUCCAACUUCAGCAAGAUUGUUUCUAUAGAAAGACAAAGUUUGAACUGAGAAGCCUUGAGCUAACUUGCAGAGCCAAUUAAUUUACUUAAUCUGGUGCAUUUAUAGGUAACACAAAUACAGGUUGCAUAUGAUCUCGCAUUAAAAUAUUUUUAAUUGCUAUCUCUUACAAAUAAGCGCAUCAUGAAGGCAACAUCCAGAAAAUGUGAAUUUUUACUAAGAAAGCAUACAUUUAAUCUUUCCUAAAUUCACUUUUAUUGCAAGCAUUUUGGGGAUUUGCAAGACAAAAUGCCUCCCAGAUCAUUAACAGUCCCUAUAUUUCUAACCCACAACUUUCUAAUGAACUAGCCCAUACUGGGGACAAAACAAUUAAUCAUAAGGAAACAGAAAUCCUGAAGAUAGAGGCAAAACGUAACAAGGAGGAGAACUAAAAUAAUCUGUGUACACUGUCAAAUAACACUCAAUGUUGAUGCUAUGCGUAUUGGAAAUUUAUUCAGAAAAACUAUCAGAUAUUUUAUAGAAAUGGAGUGAACUACUAGGAUAUUAUUAAAUAACCUUUCAUCUUAAAAGCCCAUGACAUGUUAUCCUUUAUACAGAAUAGCUGAAAAAAGCUUUUGCUUCACUAGGAUGUCUAUUAAUUAUAUCUCUAAUGUGACUCUUGACACCCACCUGCCAAAACAAGUCACAGCUUGUUCAAGGGUAGGACAAUGGUUUAUUGUUAUAGGAAAUGCUACCUACACUCAGCAAGGAGAACAGCAGAACUGAAUUAUAGUAACAGAAUAACCAACAACUUAAGAGGGUGGCUAUGUUGGGAAAUACACAAAA